rnacentral:rRNA from 1 species
UACGUAGGGUGCAAGCGUUGUCCGGAAUUAUUGGGCGUAAAGAGCUCGUAGGCGGUUUGUCGCGUCGGCUGUGAAAUCCCGAGGCUCAACCUCGGGCCUGCAGUCGAUACGGGCAAACUAGAGUGUGGUAGGGGAGACUGGAAUUCCUGGUGUAGCGGUGAAAUGCGCAGAUAUCAGGAGGAACACCUGUGGCGAAAGCGGCUCACUGGACCAUUACUGACGCUGAUGCGCGAAAGCUAGGGGAGCAAACAGG